rnacentral:rRNA from 1 species
ACGUAGGAGGCGAGCGUUAUCCGGAUUUACUGGGCGUAAAGCGCGUGUAGGCGGUUUCAUAAGUCGUGCGUGAAAGCUCCCUGGCUCAACCGGGAGAGGUCGUGCGAUACUGCGAAACUUGAGUCAGACAGAGGCAAGUAGAAUUCCGGGUGUAGUGGUGAAAUGCGUAGAUAUCCGGAGGAAUACCAGUGGCGAAGGCGACUUGCUGGGUCUGUACUGACGCUCAGACGCGAAAGCAUGGGGAGCGAACGGGA